GCUUGCUUGGUGGAUCAGUGGCGAACGGGUGAGUAACACGUGAGCAACCUGCCCUGGACUCUGGGAUAAGCGCUGGAAACGGCGUCUAAUACUGGAUAUGAGACGUGAUCGCAUGGUCGUGUUUGGAAAGAUUUUUCGGUCUGGGAUGGGCUCGCGGCCUAUCAGCUUGUUGGUGAGGUAAUGGCUCACCAAGGCGUCGACGGGUAGCCGGCCUGAGAGGGUGACCGGCCACACUGGGACUGAGACACGGCCCAGACUCCUACGGGAGGCAGCAGUGGGGAAUAUUGCACAAUGGGCGGAAGCCUGAUGCAGCAACGCCGCGUGAGGGAUGACGGCCUUCGGGUUGUAAACCUCUUUUAGCAGGGAAGAAGCGAAAGUGACGGUACCUGCAGAAAAAGCGCCGGCUAACUACGUGCCAGCAGCCGCGGUAAUACGUAGGGCGCAAGCGUUAUCCGGAAUUAUUGGGCGUAAAGAGCUCGUAGGCGGUUUGUCGCGUCUGCUGUGAAAUCCCGAGGCUCAACCUCGGGCCUGCAGUGGGUACGGGCAGACUAGAGUGCGGUAGGGGAGAUUGGAAUUCCUGGUGUAGCGGUGGAAUGCGCAGAUAUCAGGAGGAACACCGAUGGCGAAGGCAGAUCUCUGGGCCGUAACUGACGCUGAGGAGCGAAAGGGUGGGGAGCAAACAGGCUUAGAUACCCUGGUAGUCCACCCCGUAAACGUUGGGAACUAGUUGUGGGGACCAUUCCACGGUUUCCGUGACGCAGCUAACGCAUUAAGUUCCCCGCCUGGGGAGUACGGCCGCAAGGCUAAAACUCAAAGGAAUUGACGGGGACCCGCACAAGCGGCGGAGCAUGCGGAUUAAUUCGAUGCAACGCGAAGAACCUUACCAAGGCUUGACAUACACCAGAACACCGUAGAAAUACGGGACUCUUUGGACACUGGUGAACAGGUGGUGCAUGGUUGUCGUCAGCUCGUGUCGUGAGAUGUUGGGUUAAGUCCCGCAACGAGCGCAACCCUCGUUCUAUGUUGCCAGCACGUAAUGGUGGGAACUCAUGGGAUACUGCCGGGGUCAACUCGGAGGAAGGUGGGGAUGACGUCAAAUCAUCAUGCCCCUUAUGUCUUGGGCUUCACGCAUGCUACAAUGGCCGGUACAAAGGGCUGCAAUACCGUAAGGUGGAGCGAAUCCCAAAAAGCCGGUCCCAGUUCGGAUUGAGGUCUGCAACUCGACCUCAUGAAGUCGGAGUCGCUAGUAAUCGCAGAUCAGCAACGCUGCGGUGAAUACGUUCCCGGGUCUUGUACACACCGCCCGUCAAGUCAUGAAAGUCGGUAACACCUGAAGCCGGUGGCCCAACCCUUGUGGAGGGAGC
rnacentral:rRNA from 1 species